AGAGUGGCGAACGGGUGAGUAACACGUGAGUAACCUGCCUUUUUCUUUGGGAUAACGCUCAUAAAUGGGUGCUAAUACUGGAUGUUCUGCGCUUUCCACAUGGGGGGUGUGGGAAAGGGGCCUUUGUGGUUUCUGGAGGGAGAUGGGCUCGCGGCUUAUCAGCUUGUUGGUGGGGUGAUGGCUUACCAAGGCUUUGACGGGUAGCCGGCCUGAGAGGGUGGGCGGUCACAUUGGGACUGAGAUACGGCCCAGACUUCUACGGGAGGCAGCAGUGGGGAAUUUUGCACAAUGGGGGGAACCUUGAUGCAGCGACGCCGCGUGAGGGAUGGAGGCCUUCGGGUUGUGAACCUCUUUCGCUCGUGUGCAAGCCGCUAUUUGGGUAGUGGUGAGUGUAGCGGGUAAAGAAGCGCCGGCUAACUACGUGCCAGCAGCCGCGGUAAUACGUAGGGCGCGAGCGUUGUCCGGAUUUAUUGGGCGUAAAGGGCUUGUAGGCGGUUUGUCGCGCCUGUCGUGUAAUCCUCUGGCUUAACUGGGGGUGUGCGGUGGGUACGGGCAGGCUUGAGUGCGGUAGGGGAGGUUGGAAUUCCUGGUGUAGCGGUGGCAUGCGCAGAUAUCAGGAGGACACCGGUGGCGA
rnacentral:rRNA from 1 species